rnacentral:rRNA from 1 species
GCUAGGCCUUAAACAUUGAAAGCCUACUACACAAUGCUUUCCGCCAGAGAACUACAAGUGAAAAACUUAAAACUCAAAGGACUUGACGGUGUCCCACAUCGAUCUAGAGGAGCCUGUCCUAUAAUCGAUAAUCCUCGCUUAACCUAACCUUAACUAGCUACUUCAGCCUAUAUACCGCCGUCGACAGUCUACCCCAUGAGGGAUUAACAGUAAACACAAUAGCUACCCGCUAACACGUCAGGUCAAGGUGUAGCACAUGCUAAGGAAGAGAUUGGCUACAUUUUUUACUUCAAAAAACCACGAAGUGCAGCAUGAAACACUGCAUGAAGGUGAAUUUAGCAGUAAAAUAGACAAGAGAGUCUAUUUUAACCCCGCCCUGGGACGCGUACACACCGCCCGUCACCCUCCUCAACCACACAAAUAUACUAAAUAAAACCAACAAAAAACUUCAGAGGAGGU